rnacentral:rRNA from 1 species
CCUACGGGAGGCAGCAGUGAGGAAUAUUGGUCAAUGGGCGUAAGCCUGAACCAGCCAAGUCGCGUGAGGGAUGAAGGAUCUAUGGAUCGUAAACCUCUUUUAUAAGGGAAUAAAGGGUGGGACGUGUCCUGUUUUGUAUGUACCUUAUGAAUACGGCUCGGCUAACUCCGUGCAAGCAGCCGCGGUAAUCCGGAGGGUCCGAGCGUUAUCUGGAUUUAUGGGGAUUAAGGGGUGCGUAGGCGGCCUGUUAAGUCAGCGGUGAAAGUCUGUGGCUCAACCAUAGAAUUGCCGUUGAAACUGGGGGGCUAGAGUAUGUUAGCGGCAGGCGGAAUGCGUGGUGUAGCGGUGAAAUGCGUAGAUAGCACGCAGAACCCCAAUUGCGAAGGCAGCUUGCCAAGCCAUGACUGACGCUGAUGCACGAAAGCGUGGGGAUCAAACAGGAUUAGAUACCCGUGUAGUC